rnacentral:rRNA from 1 species
CUAUCAUGCAAGUCGAGCGGCAAGUCGAGGAGUAAUCUGAGACCUAGAGCGGCGUACGGGUGCGUAACGCGUAUGCAACCUACCUCAUACAGGGGGAUAGCCCGGAGAAAUCUGGAUUAAUACCCCAUGGCACAGCACAAGGGCAUCUGCGAGCUGUUAAAGAUUCAUCGGUAUGAGAUGGGCAUGCGUCUGAUUAGCUAGUUGGCGGUGUAACGGACCACCAAGGCGACGAUCAGUAGGGGUUCUGAGAGGAAGGUCCCCCACACUGGCACUGAGAUACGGGCCAGACUCCUACGGGAGGCAGCAGUAGGGAAUAUUGGGCAAUGGACGAGAGUCUGACCCAGCCAUGCCGCGUGCAGGAAGACGGCGUUCUGCGUUGUAAACUGCUUUUAUCUGGGAAGAAAAGGCCCGUGCGCGGGACAUUGCCGGUACCAGAUGAAUAAGCACCGGCUAACUCCGUGCCAGCAGCCGCGGUAAUACGGAGGGUGCAAGCGUUGUCCGGAUUUAUUGGGUUUAAAGGGUGCGUAGGCGGCUGUUUAAGUCAGUGGUGAAAGACAUCGGCUCAACCGAUGCAGUGCCAUUGAUACUGGGCAGCUUGAGUGUUGGAGGGGUACAUGGAAUUGAUGGUGUAGCGGUGAAAUGCAUAGAUACCAUCAGGAACACCGAUAGCGAAGGCAUUGUACUGGCCAACAACUGACGCUGAGGCACGAAAGCAUGGGGAGCGAACAGGAUUAGAUACCCUGGUAGUCCAUGCCGUAAACGAUGAUUACUCGCUGUUAUGCCGUAGGGUGUAGUGGCCAAGCGAAAGCGUUAAGUAAUCCACCUGGGGAGUACGCCGGCAACGGUGAAACUCAAAGGAAUUGACGGGGGUCCGCACAAGCGGUGGAGCAUGUGGNUUUAAUUCGAUGAUACGCGAGGAACCUUACCUGGGCUAGAAUGUGAAGGAAUGAUUUAGAAGAUAGAUCAGUCAGCAAUGACCUGAAACAAGGCGCUGCAUGGCUGUCGUCAGCUCGUGCCCGUGAGGGGUUG